rnacentral:rRNA from 1 species
AUACGUAGGGUGCAAGCGUUAAUCGGAAUUACUGGGCGUAAAGCGUGCGCAGGCGGUUUUGUAAGACAGGGGUGAAAUCCCCGGGCUCAACCUGGGAACUGCCCUUGUGACUGCAAGGCUGGAGUGCGGCAGAGGGGGGUGGAAUUCCCCGUGUAGCGGUGAAAUGCGUAGAUAUGCGGAGGAACACCGAUGGCGAAGGCAAUCCCCUGGGCCUGCUCUGACGCUCAUGCAAGAAAGCGUGGGGAGCAAACAGGAUUAGAUACCCUGGUAGUCCACGCCAUAAACGAUGUCAACUGGGUGUUGGGGAUUUAUUUUCUCAGUAACGAAGCUAACGCGUGAAGUGGACCGCCUGGGGAGUACGGCCGCAAGGUUAAAACUCAAAGGAAUUGACGGGG